rnacentral:rRNA from 1 species
ACGCUCGACACCUACGGGGGGCAGCAGUGGGGAAUAUUGCACAAUGGGGGAAACCCUGAUGCAGCGACGCCGCGUGAGUGAAGAAGUAUUUCGGUAUGUAAAGCUCUAUCAGCAGGGAAGAAGAUGACGGUACCUGAGUAAGAAGCCCCGGCUAACUACGUGCCAGCAGCCGCGGUAAUCUGAGGCGGGCUGGCAAGGC